rnacentral:rRNA from 1 species
AUACGUAGGGGGCGAGCGUUAUCCGGAUUUAUUGGGCGUAAAGCGUGUGUAGGCGGUUUGUUAAGUUUAAGAUUAAAGCCCGAGGCUUAACCUCGGUUCGUCUUAAAAACUGGCAGACUUGAGUGCAGUAGAGGCAAGUGGAAUUUCUAGUGUAGCGGUUAAAUGCGUAGAUAUUAGAAGGAACACCAGUGGCGAAGGCGGCUUGCUGAGCUGUUACUGACGCUGAGACACGAAAGCGUGGGGAGCAAAUAGGAUUAGAUACCCUAGUAGUCCACGCCGUAAACGAUGAUUACUAGCUGUUUGCGAUACAAUGUAAGCGGCUGAGCGAAAGCGUUAAGUAAUCCACCUGGGGAGUACGUUCGCAAGAAUGAAACUCAAAGGAAUUGACGGGG